rnacentral:rRNA from 1 species
AUUGAACGCUGGCGGCGUGCCUAACACAUGCAAGUCGAGCGGUAACAGGUGUAGCAAUACAUGCUGACGAGCGGCGAACGGGUGAGUAAUGCUUCGGAAUCUGCCCAUGUAGUGGGGAAUAACCAGCCGAAAGGUUGGCUAAUACCGCAUACGACCCUUGUCCACAAGGCAAAGGUGAAAGCAGGGGAUCGCAAGACCUUGCGCUAUUGGAUGAGCCGAAGUCGGAUUAGCUAGUUGGUAGGUAACGGCCUACCAAGGCGACGAUCCGUAGCUGGUCUGAGAGGACGACCAGCCACACUGGGACUGAGACACGGCCCAGACUCCUACGGGAGGCAGCAGUGGGGAAUAUUGGACAAUGGGGCAACCCUGAUCCAGCGACGCCGCGUGUGUGAAGAAGGCCUGCGGGUUGUAAAGCACUUUUAGUGGGGAUGAAAGC